rnacentral:rRNA from 1 species
CACGUAGGGCGCAAGCGUUGUCCGGAAUUAUUGGGCGUAAAGAGCUCGUAGGCGGUCUGUUGCGUCCGCUGUGAAAACUCGGGGCUUAACCCCGAGCCUGCAGUGGAUACGGGCAGACUAGAGGUAGGUAGGGGAGAAUGGAAUUCCCGGUGUAGCGGUGAAAUGCGUAGAGAUCGGAAAGAACACCAACGGCGAAAGCACUCUGCUGGGCCGACACUGACACUGAGAGACGAAAGCUAGGGGAGCGAGUGGG